CAAGGUUUGUAUCAGUGAUUUGGAUUUUUAUAUAAUAUAAUUAGGGCUAGCAAUUUUAGCUAGUUCGUGCAAUUGGUGUAACAUCUACAAUUGAAAAUUUGGUACUGUUUGGAUUAUUAGGUGUUCUAAGUGUAUACAAAAUUUUGUGAUAAUCUAUUGGCAUGGUUUAGAGAUGUCUAGUUUUUAGCACAAGAGGAUUUCAGAAGGUGGCAGUUUGAGGUUGAGUAGGAUUUCUAUGAUAUCUAAAGAUCUAUUAGUUGGAUUAAGGUGGAAAUUGGCACGGUGUUGAAGGACUUAAAGAUCAAGCUACAUACCAAUUUUGAGACAAAGUUAAUAGUUGGAAAGGAAGAAAUCAUUGCUGGAAUUUCUGCUUCAUUUUUUAAGUUAGCGGCUGAGUGACAUUAGUGCAAUUUUUGGAGGUUUUUUACAAUUUGUAAGUUGGAUUGGGCUAAAAUUCUUGAGCAUAUAGAAGACUUACAUUGACAAUUUUAUGCAAAAUUCUACAUGAAGUGGACAGUCGGAUUGGAUGUUAUAGCUUGUUAAAGCUCACUAAUUAGGAUUGAAGCUUACAAGAAAAAACUAAAUUGCUUAAAUAUGAAAGUAACAAGGUAAUUGGGAUUUAUG
rnacentral:lncRNA from 1 species